rnacentral:rRNA from 1 species
AGAGUGCUGUAGGGGAGACUGGAAUUCCUGGUGUAGCGGUGGAAUGCGCAGAUAUCAGGAGGAACACCGAUGGCGAAGGCAGNUCCCUGGGCAGUAACUGACGCUGAGGAGCGAAAGCAUGGGGAGCGAACAGGAUUAGAUACCCUGGUAGUCCAUGCUGUAAACGGUGGGCGUUAGGUGUGGGGACCGGUUUGGUUUCUGUGCCGUAGCUAACGCAUUAAGCGCCCCGCCUGGGGAGUACGGCCGCAAGGCUAAAACUCAAAGGAAUUGACGGGGGCCCGCACAAGCGGCGGAGCAUGUGGAUUAAUUCGAUGCAACGCGAAGAACCUUACCUGGGUUUGACAUGCACCAGACGGUUGUAGAGAUACGUACCUCCCUUUGUGGUUGGUGUGCAGGUGGUGCAUGGUUGUCGUCAGCUCGUGUCGUGAGAUGUUGGGUUAAGUCCCGCAACGAGCGCAACCCUUGUCUUAUGUUGCCAGCACGUUUAGGGUGGGGACUCAUGAGAGACUGCCGGGGUUAACUCGGAGGAAGGUGGGGAUGACGUCAAAUCAUCAUGCCCAUUAUGCCCAGGGCUUCACACAUGCUACAAUGGUUAGUACAACGCGCUGCGAACCUGUGAGGGUGAGCGAAUCGCUGAAAGCUAAUCUCAGUUCGGAUUGGGGUCUGCAACUCGACCCCAUGAAGUCGGAGUCGCUAGUAAUCGCAGAUCAGCAAUGCUGCGGUGAAUACGUUCCCGGGCCUUGUACACACC